rnacentral:rRNA from 1 species
AGCAGUCGCCGCGGGAAUACGUAGGGGGCAAGCGUUGUCCGGAAUUAUUGGGCGUAAAGCGCGCGCAGGCGGUUUUUUAAGUCUGGUGUCUAAGUGCGGGGCUCAACCCCGUGACGCACUGGAAACUGGGAGACUUGAGUGCAGAAGAGGAGAGCGGAAUUCCACGUGUAGCGGUGAAAUGCGUAGAGAUGUGGAGGAACACCAGUGGCGAAGGCGGCUCUCUGGAUUGUAACUGACGCUGAGGCGCGAAAGCGUGGGGAGCAAACAGGAUUAGAUACCCGUGUAGUCCCUGUCUCUUAUACA